UAGCUAUCGGGGUCCGGCGACGUAUGCCCUGGACCUCAUUUUUCCUGUCUAUCUCUCAUUUUGUGUUAAGGGGGAUUCUGUUUUUCCUCAAGGCUGUUCUUCAUUAGUAGAGUGUUGCAGCCCAUUGCUGAGGGCGUGCGAUAAAAGUUGCCGUGCUAAUGAGGGCUUGUACCGUUGGACUUCAACGACGCGCGAGUGAUUGAUUCUGUGUUGCGACUGGGGUGCGGUGAAGGCGUCAGCAGUGAUUUUUUCCUCUGCCACGGCAGCGAAACGGUUGUGGGAGAGUACCCUGUGACGACAAUCCGGAUCUGUUCAAACCUUACUUCAAUUUUAUGGAGGUUACGCAAUUCAACUUCGUAUUCUGUGGUGUUGUUUUUUCCUUGCGCGCGGCGGUGCCAUUGUGUUGUUUUUUUCUCUGUUGCUAUUGUGCGGUGCAUUGUUGUGAUUCGAGGUGGUAGUUUAGGUCUUCGGCAGUAGUUUUUCCCCCAUUCGUUCUCCAUCGCCUUUGAAUCCUCGACCUCAAGCAGAUUUGGUGUUGGUGCUCGUUCGGUUUGGAGCAGUGCGACUAGACUAGGAGUCAGGUGGAAGUGCAGCGGUCAAGAGCUCUUGGUACUAUUAAUGGUAUUUUUUUCUAUGGUGCGAGGCCACUUGCGGUGGAAUACGGCCGAACAUCUUCACCACUAGCUGUUGCGGGCAUUGCUCCUGGGCUGCUGUACAUCAGCGUCGAGCAAAGAUUCAACAACGGCGGCUGGAGUUUGGUGGUUGGUGGCUCGGAUUGUUGACAAGUUCCAGAGGUUCAGAAAGUACUCGAUGGAAAGCAAUUCUUCGAUGGUAGAUGAUCAUGAACAAUAGAUCGUGAGGGACCUGAUGUAGGAAGUUGAUUUUUUUGAGACUGAGUUUGGAUAAAGUUUAAUUGAACGCGCUCGUUGAUAGCCUACUCAAUUUCGGUGUAUAAGCGCAACUCUACAGAAGAACAGAAUUUGACAAUUCAUCUUAGUGGAAGUGGAGCGCUAGAAGGGUGGAAUUGGGCUGCAAUAGACCUCUUUCUUGUCGACUUGUGCACUCCGGGAUGGAUAAAGGUAGAAAAUUUUAAUUUUUUUAUUAGACGACUUAGGUUAGAGUCGACAGAAGUUAGUUUCGGAUUGGAUGAGUUAGGUUUGGGAUUACAUUAGUAUAAUUUGGAUGAACAAUUGAAGUUGAAUGAAAAUUUUGAAUUAGAUGAAAUUAAUUAGAUGAAUUCUCUUA